rnacentral:rRNA from 1 species
CCUACGGGUGGCAGCAGUGGGGAAUAUUGCACAAUGGGCGCAAGCCUGAUGCAGCCAUGCCGCGUGUGUGAAGAAGGCCUUCGGGUUGUAAAGCACUUUCAGCGGGGAGGAAGGCGGUGAGGUUAAUAACCUCAUCGAUUGACGUUACCCGCAGAAGAAGCACCGGCUAACUCCGUGCCAGCAGCCGCGGUAAUACGGAGGGUGCAAGCGUUAAUCGGAAUUACUGGGCGUAAAGCGCACGCAGGCGGUCUGUCAAGUCGGAUGUGAAAUCCCCGGGCUCAACCUGGGAACUGCAUUCGAAACUGGCAGGCUAGAGUCUUGUAGAGGGGGGUAGAAUUCCAGGUGUAGCGGUGAAAUGCGUAGAGAUCUGGAGGAAUACCGGUGGCGAAGGCGGCCCCCUGGACAAAGACUGACGCUCAGGUGUGAAAGCGUGGGGAGCAAACAGGAUUAGAUACCCGAGUAGUC